AUACUUACCUGGACGGGGUCGACGACUGAUCAAGAAGAGUCGUGGCCUAGGCUAGUGGUCCACAUUGCACUUGGUGGAUGCGCUGGCUUACCAUCUCCUCAAAUGGGAGAGUGGACGUCAUAAUUUGUGAUAGAGGGGGUACGCGUCCGCGCGGCCCCUG
rnacentral:snRNA from 1 species